AAUUCCAGAGAGAGAUCAUUUGGAUAGAGAACGGAAGGGAGAAGGACAAGAGAGGGAGUGGGGGUCCAGGGGUGAAGAACCUUAGGAGACACCCUCUCUUUUUUAUGAGACCCGUCACCAUUCGCACUGAAGCAAUCCAACUUGAGUUGAAAUUCACUGAAUCCAUCCCACCCGCCUCUCUCUUUCUUUCAAUCUCUCCUUAGCACCUCAAAUUCAAAAAUACAAAUACAGAGAAGGAACCCAAAACCCAUCUCUAUCCAUCAACCCAACCAUCCCCCACAUACCCAGAAAAGGGGAACAACAGCCAAAUGUCAAUAUCUGAUAUCUCUUGGAGUGAAGGUCGUGGCCUUUUCACCUUCUUCCUCUUCGUUAUUGUAAUUUAUUCUUAACCACCAUUUCAACUUCUGUCGCUUUUUAAAAGGAAAAAAAAAAAAAAAACAUUUGGAUCUUUCUCUUUGAUCUUGUUUUCAUAUCCUUUUUCUUGUACUCCUGGAAUUGGUUCUAAAUAGACAAGGUUUGUGGAGACUGGAGAGGGAGGGGGGCUCUGAAAUACAAAAGGUGUUGCAAAGGACCUUUGUUUGUUGUGGCCUCAUCUGGAAACCUGAAACCUUAGCCUCUUUAUCAACACCACCACCUAAGGCAACCAUAUCAGUGCCAAAUCUACAGGUUGAAGUCAGGCUGAGUUAGCAUGGACAUCCAAAGUCUAGAAUUGAAGAACGAAAUGGCUAUGAAGGAUUUGUACAGUCACAGAUGGCAGGCCAAACUUCUGGGGAGUUCAUUUUCUGAUCUUGUUUGCAUUUCUGAAAGUUGAUGCUCUGGCUUAGCUCCUCUUGAAAAUUCACUGGCGCAUGCUGAUUUGAACCUGUUGUCAACCUCCUUGAGUUUGAUUAUAGUCAAAUCUGAAGACUUGGGAGUUGGAACCCAGUGGUCAUCCUUCCUGAAUCCUGAGCAAGUAGCAAUCUGAUACACAUUCAUUGGCCCUCACUUUCAGACCUCCAUCAACAGCAACUGCUGUCAUUGAGAUUAGAGGCCAACAAACUAAUCGUAAAUUGAAAGAAGGUUCAGUCCUGGUUUUGUGAAGAUAGCUGGUUGAGGAAAAUUUAAAUGAGCUUUGAAACUCAGGAGGUGGACUUAAGAUUGCCAGGAGGUUUGAUUAGUGUACAGGCUCACAGAACUGGAGUAAUGGAUGGUAGAGCAAAAGGGUCUGCUGCUUUGGUUGAUAAAAGCGCUAGGCAUUGUCAUCGAUCUCUAUCACAAGGGAACAGACCGGCGAACAGCCGGAAGUCCUUUCCGGCAUGUUAUUUCAGUAUGGAAUCCUUUCUUGUGCUCACCUGUCUCACAGCUUCAUUGCUGAUCCUUCCACUUAUACUACCACCAUUGCCUCCACCACCUUUCAUGCUGCUUCUGCUCCCUAUAGCCAUACUUGCUGUGCUUAUGAUCUUGGCUUUGAUGCCUUCAGAUGUUCGAGAUAUCGCAUCAUCCUACAUGUGAGUGGAAAUGCAAGAUCCAUCCCUUGUUUGAAAACACAAUUGUUUUUCUUUUUUUUUGUAAUUUUGUUUUACUUCUUUUCCUUGAAUGAUUCAAAAAGAAACAAAUAGUUCCUUCUGUUAAUACUUUUUUAUCUCCAGCUUUGGUGGCCUACUUGUUUCAGCUCCAACCCAAGAUUUUGAAUUCAAAACAGGAAACACUCCUGAGAAACCCAAGUUAAUGAUAAUGAUGGACAUAAAUGAUAGUUAUAAGA